GCCCGGCUAGCUCAAUCAGUAGAGCGUGGGACUCUCAAUCCCAAGGCUGUGGGUUCAACCCCCACUCUGGCGUC